CCCACCUAGCUUCACUCUUCCUCUCUACCUACUCAACAAGUAGAAAAUGGGGUGGAAAAGCUCAAGGGGUGACAUAAAUAACAGGAAAAGUGCUUGUUGAUUAAUGUUACUUGGGAAAGAUUAAUUUAUUUCCAAUUAAGAAUAGAAUAGGAUAAUGAGAAAUGAAGACAAAAACAAAAACACCUUCCUUUCAUCCCUCCUUCCUGCCAGCAUCAACUUCACUCCUUCACUCCUUACUCCAAACUGCCUCCCCCACAGUAGUGCAGGGUGAUAGGAAAUGGGGGUUAUAGUUAAUCCAUAGCAGCUCCUCUCUUCUGCUCUUUCCUCCUCAUGCUGUUCGCCUGCUUCAACAGGGGUCUUUCCACUGGCUGCAUUUUCCUUCAGGGCAUGUACCUCCGCUCCAGUGUGGUACCCUCCCCAGUGAGAAUAUCUGCUUCAUCAUGGUCCUCUCUGGGGGUUGCAGAGAAAUCUCUGUGCCUGGAGCAUCUCUCUCCCUCCCUCCCUCUUCUCUCACCUUGGUAUUUGCAGGACUGUUUCUCACACAUUUUUCUCACUUCUGUCUCUUAACUGCUUGCAGCAUUAUUUACUCUUUCUUAAACACAUAUUCUCAGAGGCACCACACCUAUGGCUGAGGUGUUCAGCUGUGUCCUGGACGUGGGUGGAUUGGAACAGAUUGUGUUCCUCGUGGGAGGCCGCCCUUGGCAGCCCUCCCCAGCCAAGCCAGUGCUUGGGCACCUGUACCCAGUACAAAGGCUUAGGGAUAAACUACAGCAUUUAAGAUGAAGGAAGAAAUGGAGAAAAGACUCAAGGAGGAGAGGGCAUCUAUGGAGUUAACCAAGAGUUUGAGGUUUCAUGGCUGAAAGGGGGAGCAGCAGGCAAUAAGGCAGCGCAUUUGUGUCCAGCAGGGCACCAGACAGGUUGUGCUGUAGCCAGACCUCUGGUAGAGUUUGCUAAAGGAGAAAGGAGUGGCCAACAAAUGAAAACAUUUUUUAGGCAGAAUAAUGAAAAACAAACUUAUUAUCUAAUUUUCUCUGAGGGAUUUUUCUCCCAAAAGAAAUAUCAGAACCAGCUUAGGAGGAAAAUAAAGUAAGAGCAAGUAUAAAUUAAAUUAAAUCAAAACUUCACAAUUUCCAGUGGCAUCCUAUCCUUGCAGAAAUUUACUAGUUAAUUUUAUAGUUUCACCAUGAGAUACUUAAGCGUUUUACCUGAAAACACAUAAAUUAAUUUAUGUGCCCACUUGCAUCCCAUGCUAAGCCACUGUCUGACCCAAGAUAAUGUUAUUGACAUCUUCACUUUCCAGCAAUUUAGUUUCUUCCUAGACAACAAUGAUAAAUCAAUUAAUUGUCUAGUGAUUUAGUUUUAGAAUGGUUAAGAGCUGCAGGAAGCCAAAUGUGCCUGUGAUAAGUAGGAAAAGUCAUUCUUGGGAUGAAAAGUCUACUGGGAUUGUUAGUGAGUAGCUUUGACAGUAACCAAAAUACAGCAAGGAAUGAAUGAUGUUCACUGGUGCCCACUACAGUGAACCAUCUAAGAUAUCAUUAUUUUAGCUAUGAAAUUUGCCCUGUUUUAAAUGUGAUAGGACAUCUUACUGGAUCCAAGUUAAGGCACAGUACUCUGCUAAAUCUAGGUCAAAAUGAGGAUUGGAAGGCACUUGCCAUAGCAAAUGUGUUUGUGCCAUGUUCCUCUCUGCCUCCAGCUCUGCAAAAGGUGUCGGGUGUCCCCGUGCAGCUGCCUCUGCUCAGAGCUGAUCAAGCAGACAGAGGAAAUACAUUAGAAAACAAUUGUCUGUAUGUGGGGAAAUGUUAACUCUUAUGUCUUUCCAAAGUGUUGUAAGUGCCCAUUAGUGAGGAAGUCAAGGAGUCGGUUUUUCACUGCAGUUGUUGUGUAGCAGACUUUGUAAUGUGAUCCACCCCUCAUUUUCUCCUAAGUCCCUAUCAGAUCUGAAGUUCAUGUGCUUGGGAAUGUUAUCAGGAAAAGAUAUAGGAGACAACAUCUGCAAAAACAGUGACUCAUUUGGCUGUCCUGAGUCUUCAUAUUCUCUAGAUACAGGAUUUCAGAAUCUGCACAUUUUACAAUUGUAAUGGUGACUGUUUUUAUAGGAGUUUCAUUCUAUUUCUAUUAUACAUUAAAAUAUUAAUUUUCAGCUGUUUGUUAUGGUCUUUGAUAGGAUGUAAAUUUGUUUAGGCUACUAGGAAUGUGACAGAAUGAAUCAGACAGAUUUUGGAAGAAAAUUGCCCAUCUGGCUUUGCAUGGCACUCCCAAGGCACUGAGUGUGGAUUCAUUCGCAUCACACAAAGCCUUGCCUUUGAGGCAAGGAAGCCACAUGAGACACCUGAGGGAAAUUCCAAAAUUAUCUUUGAUGUCAGUGGGGUAUGUAAGGGUUCAUAAAGAUCUUUUGGGGGAUGGAAAGUGAUUUUAAGUGUAUCACCCAUGACUUCUGACCUGACAAGACUCUUUGAAAUGUUGUAUGGAGGAGUUCAGACUGAUUUCAAGAGAUUGUCAGAUCAGUAGUGGGUGGAAGUACACAUGAAAAAGCAUGCCAUCCUCCAGUGUUAAUGAAAUUCCUCUGGUGUUUGUGGAAAAUAUGGAUAUUGGUGAAUGGAAGAAUCUGAUCAUUAUUUGUUAUCUUGUUUUCUAUUUCUGAUGUCAUUUUGAUAUAAAUAGUACAACUUAGUAGGCCAUCAGGAGAGGUAUUAUGUGUCUUUUUCCUUCUUAUACAUAUUUAGAUUAUGUUCAUUCCUUAAAUACUGUGUCAGGCAGAGCCACUUGAAAGUAAGAUUGAUCCUUGCCAUCUGUGACUACUGAUCCUGGUCAAAUACAGAAGAGAAAACAAACUGCAAGGAAUGCUGGGAAGAGCUAGAGGAAAGGCAGUUUGAACAGCGUGAUUGCUAGACUGCUGAGAGGAGAAGGGAGAUGUCAAUUUUGAUGAAGAAGGAAGGGCUUCUAAAAACCCACUUUCUAAGCUGUGCAGAGUUUGCAGCAGCACAGAAGGUUACUGAGUGACUCAAACCAAGCCUGGAAGCAAGAUACUCUUGCAAAGACAUAUGAGGCAAUGGACUCUGCCCUUCAACAUUCAGUCUAUUCUGGAUUCUAAACUACUUGAAAAUCUGAAAGAGUGAGAUUUUCAUGUUCUGUCCACUUGAAUGGUACUGAAAAAUAUGAAAGAAAUUUUGCCUUUUGGAGGAUCUGAAGACAAAAAAUUUGCAGUCUUUGGAAGACAGACUGUGUUGCUGUCAUCAUUUAUCUACUUAAAAGCUCUGUGAAGAAGGAAUCCAGAGAACAACAGAACUGCUCCACAUCGCUGUAAAUUGUUUGUUCUUAGGAUGCACCAAACCUUGAAAACUGGGUGCAAGUGUUGAACCUUCAGAACACAUUGAUUGCUGAUGCACAUUGUCUGGACGUUUCUAAUUGGCAUAUAUUUAGAAAAAAAAAAAUUAAAAAGCGCCAUUUGCACCAUUUUCAGUUUAAUGAUAUGACAUCUCCAUCUCAAAUUUUUCCCUAACAAACCUGAAUGACUCAAAAAUAUGUUGGUCAAAGAGGCUGAUGACAGAGUCAGAACAUGAUGUUUGGGUUGUUCUGAUAUUUUUAUAAGAACCAAAUGUUCUUGAGAAAUUACACUCACUUCUUUCAAUGUGCAAAAUCUUAUGAAGAUAUUCCUGAAAUUAUAUCAGACAUGAUGUUCUUUAUGAGAACGGGUAGAUUCCUCCAUCCAUCCUCCAUUUUCCUCACCUUCCAGUGAAGGGAAAACCUUUGCACUUGAGAACUGUCACCCGAUAAAAACUUUUGGUGAAUUUUCUUAUGCAGGGAAAAAGCCUAACUGCCUUGGCUGAUGUGUGAAAUACUAAGACUCAGAGAUUAGCAAACAAGUUUAAGUAUUUCUGUGAAUGUAUUCUAAUUUAUUAUGUAAUUUUUCUCUAUAUUGCUUAUACUUCAGAAUGUUGUGCAUGUUGUGAACACACAGUUAUAUAUUCCUGGCCAUAGCUGACAGCUAUAAGGUAAUAAGCCCUGGAGUCCCCAUAGAACAGAGAAUUAAACACGGAUUUGAAUUUACAAAACAUUCUUUUAGUCAUGCUGAUAGCUGAAUUUAGCACAAGGAUUGCUCUCACAGAGGGUGGCUAUACCUCAGCUGGUUCUCUGACAACUUGUGGUUAAUACGGAGGUCAUCACUGGGUACGUGCAGAAGACUGAACUUUCUCUACCAUCAGAUUAUAUUUCAACAGCGUACUUGUGAGAAAAAAAUGAGCAGAUUUUUUAAAAUCCUAUUUAUUACAAUUUACAGUAAAGUCAUUGUUUAAAGGCCAAGUAAUCCGUGAAGAUACAGUUUAGCCAUUUAAAUGGUAACCUAUGUAAUAAGUGUGGACUCAGAAAUCAUCACCUUGGCUGGUCAUGGAAGUGGUUUUUUUUGUCCUCGGUACAAAUUUGUUACUAUAUUUCAGGUAGAUAAAAGAAUGUUUCACAUUAAAUGAUCAUUUCCUCUUUCUCGGUUUAUAUAUAUGUAACAAUGGCAUAAUAUAUGCAAAUAUCUGUGAAAUAAUUUCAGGAAAGGACAUACACAAUUUUCUUUUGGAAAAGAGUGUCCUAUUUUGUUUGGCAUUAUAGUAAAUAAUGUAUGGGAAACACUUGGGAGCUACUGAUCAAAAUACCUUUCUGUUGAUAACUUGAUUUAGUAGAUAAGACAAAAAGCUUUUCCCCUUGAAGCAGUUGGAUUAAAUGAGUUCAAGGUGAGGACUAGCUUAGGAAUGGUUCCAAAGAAAUGAGCAGUUUUAUUUCUUGUGUAACUUCCACACCAUCAAGUUCAACACAUCCCUGGUAGAAAUGUUUGUAUUCUUGGCAAAGUGAUGAAAAAUGACAUGAGCUUGAUUACCCACUAUUAUUUUCCAACUACAAUCAACUUUUUGAACUCAAGAAAGAGAACUUCACUGAAAAGUUACCUGUUAAUUUACUUUAGAAGCUAUACCUUCUGAAGUCACUUUAUAAUUGAGGUGCAUUUUCUGACAUUAAUAAUUUAAUAUUCUAUAUUUUCAGCCUUCCAACUCAAAAAUAAAAAGAAAGAUGCUUAAGUAAAUUCACCAGCUACAUAGCUCCAUGAAGACUGCAGUUUUAUUCCAUUAUGGACAAUAUUUAUUUAGAAGGAACACACAGAACUGUUUUCUAAUAAACACUGUAAAUGUCAUAUAAUUCAAUAUUUUAUUAAAAGUAAAUAUUCUACUGUUAUUCCCCCCCCCCCCCCCCAUUCAUACUGCAAUGAUUUUUACUUACAGGUCUUCUACUAGUUACCUAUCUAAGAAGAAGGGAGUUUCUAUACAUUUGGGAUCCAUUUCUUGUACAAAAAAGGGGCAAGAUUUAAUAUCUUUUUUUUUCUUUUUUUUUCCCCUGUGGGUGCACAUUGGACUUAAUGGCUUUUCAGUUCCCUUUAGUUCUUAUGCCCAUCUUCCUUGAAAGUUGCAGGCAGAACUGAUAACAUGCCAUCAUUCCCUCAGCACUGGGCCUUAUGUUCUAAGUCAUAUAGAACAAGGUACAAAUCCUUUGUCUGUGCUUUAAUACCUCAUUUAUACAACCUAGUCAUAAUCAAUGAGUAGUGUGAUCCAAAGAGAAAUAACAGCAACUCCCUAGUGUACCAGACAAAGGUAAGAUUGAGUGUCAGUCUCUUCUAAAGGAGUUCCUGUGGUCCUUUUCACUGUCUUGCAGAAUGGGUGUUGCCUUACAGCCAUAGACUUGUUCCUGCUCUGAUUUCUGAUAAUUUUAAUGCACUACACUUUUCAGCUUUCUACUCUCAUCGCUCCGUGCUUGAACUCCGGAAAAAGACCAUUAAACAUGAGUAUUUCAGGCUUAGCAUAAAUUUCUCGUUUGAAAUAAGGAGCUAUAGGUUAGGAAUUCCCUGCACACUGCUUAGCUGUAAUUUCAGGGCAUGAUUAAUUUCUCGGUGCAAAUCACCAGGCAGACACCCUCAGGGGUUCCCUUGCUUCUGCUUAAAGCAGAAGAUUGUAACAGAGGAGUGCUCGUUCAUAGAAGAGAUGAUUGUAAUUUUACUGUUGACAUAUAUCUGCAAAUUUUCUCUAUAUCAGGAGCUACCACUUAGACGUAAACACAGUUUUUUGAUAAAUUCCUUCCAGAUGCUGAAGUCUAAGUUUCAGGAUCUCUAGGAAAACGCCAUAUGCAAUGAAAAACCCAGCUUACAACUGAGAGAAAUGCAUCAAAAUACAAUGGUGUUUCUCAAAACUGCAUUGCCAGAGCCCUGCCUUACCCUCCCUCGCAUUGCUCAUAAC